AAAUCAUAUGUGACCCUCAUUACAGACCAAAAUCAUUUAUAAUAAAUCUUUAAGGUCCAUAAUCAGCUGCAAAAACUUUUUAUGGCACCCACUGUCAUAUCAAAUAAAAACAAUAAAAUUCAAUAUCAUUUCCAGUAAAUAACCUCAUUUAAACCUAAUAGACCUACAAACAACAUAAAAAGGAGCAAAAAGAAGCAGAUUUUAAUUGAUGGAAUUAAUGAUAAUUAAAAGAGCACACAAAUUAUGAGAAAUAAAAUACAAUUUCCAAAAAAAUAAACCUUAAUUGUAAUGAAUAACCAUCUUUCAAACCAUUAGGAUUAACUAAUCAACAAAAUGAAGUCACAAAUCAGAAAUUAUAACAUGCAUACCCCAAUAUACACACGAAUUGAAACGGAGAUAAGGGAUAGGGUUUUGCAUACCUUAAAUAAAAGCUGGAACGAAAU
rnacentral:misc_RNA from 1 species